rnacentral:hammerhead_ribozyme from 1 species
GCACUUCUGAAGAGUCCCAAAAUUGGACGCAACAGCUGUCCAGUAC